rnacentral:rRNA from 1 species
UACGUAGGGGGCAAGCGUUGUUCGGAUUCAUUGGGCGUAAAGGGUGCGUAGGCGGCGCGGUAAGUCGGGUGUGAAAUCUCGGGGCUUAACUCCGAAACUGCAUUCAAUACUGCUUCGCUCGAGUACUGGAGAGGAGGCUGGAAUUUACGGUGUAGCAGUGAAAUGCGUAGAUAUCGUAAGGAAGGCCGGUGGCGAAAGCGAGCCUCUGGACAGUUACUGACGCUGAUGCACGAAGGCCAGGGGAGCAAACGGG